AUGGAGGUGGCGCUGCAGGCGUGUGAUGCCGCGGACUGGGUCUACAAGGGAGAGGGCGCGACGAAUCUCAUCCUCAACUACACCGGCUCCUUGCCCUCCAUGAUUGAAGACUUCGUCCCGUGUCCGGAUGGGACUUUCCUUGGCAUGGAAGGCAAGCUUGGUGAUACGGAUAUGUAG
rnacentral:rRNA from 1 species